AAUCAACGCUGGCGGCGUGCCUCAGACAUGCAAGUCGAACGCGAAAGUUCCCUUCGGGGAGCGAGUAGAGUGGCGCACGGGUGAGUAACACGUAGGUAAUCUACCCUCGAGUGGGGAAUAACUCAGGGAAACUUGAGCUAAUACCGCAUAAUGCAGCGGCACCACAUGGUGACAGUUGUUAAAGCAUUUAUGCGCUUGGGGAGGAGCCUGCGGCAGAUUAGCUAGUUGGUAAGGUAAUGGCUUACCAAGGCAACGAUCUGUAACCGGCCUGAGAGGGCGGACGGUCACACUGACACUGAAUAACGGGUCAGACUCCUACGGGAGGCAGCAGUCGGAAUUUUGGCAAUGGGCGAAAGCCUGACCCAGCAACG
rnacentral:rRNA from 1 species